GGUAUGUCCAGUCACGUGGAGCUGGAUUACAGACAGUUGUAAGCUGCCAUGUGGUGCAUUUGCCUCUGUCUGUUCUCUACCCCAUCACUUCCCCAAAGCAACAGCUGUGCCUGCUUUUCCCUCUCUUCUGAAACAAGACCACAAACAACUUCUCCUUAGAGUUCACGGGGUUCUCAUGAACCACCUCACGCUUAUGUGAUUUAUCUAAGUAGAUAUCUGUUCUUGCAUCCAAAGGCAUCCCAGGCUCCUGCAUCCUUAUUUCUGAUGUAGUAGGCCUGCCCAGUGGUACAGAGGUGUAGAGCAGGGAGGAAGCUCAACACUCUCACAUAAAGGAUAAAGACGUAUCCUGCUGGCAGUGUCACGAAGCUAACUAAGGCUGAGAAACUCUAACUUAAGGAAUCAGAAGACGCAUCUGUCUUGUUCAAAUCCAGCACUCUGACUGAUGAGGUAAGGGGCGGGGCAUGGAGACCAUCCUAAUCAGCACACACAGUACCAGCCCUCAUUUCUCUAUGACAGGGAAGCUCAAAGCCCUUAUAGCGGCUGAUUAAAGGAGUGUUGAUCAGUUAGUCCUCUGGAGUUUGUGACAAUGGAGGUAAUCCAUAAGGAGACCUCCCCAUAAGGACAGACAGUGGAGUAGACUUGGCGCUGGACAGUACCAGCCUCGCAAGCUGAUGACCAAGAUUAGCCAUUGUGUUCUUAGGGUUUGGUGUAGGCCUUCACUCUUGCACAGCAGA
rnacentral:lncRNA from 1 species